GCUGAGGCGCCUGUCAAUCACUCUUAGUCCCGCCCCGCUUCGGCACCGCCCCCCCACUCCCGCGAUUGGCUGAGGCGACUGUCAGGCACUCCUAGUCCCGCCCCGCUUCUGGUCUACUUCGACAACGCCCCCCUCCUCUGAUUGGCUGUGACGCCUGCCAAUCACUCCUAGUCCCGCCCCAGGUUUCACAGUGCGGUUUCUCCUCCUGCAGUACGUAGUUUUGGCCACAGGAGGGCAGCAGCUCGCAUUGCUCUGAGCCACUCCUUUGCUCCCCCUCCCACAUCACCAGCGGCUGCAGUACCGAGCUUUGGACACAUGAUGGCAGCAGCGAGCGGCGCCAGGAGCCACUCCUCCCCGCUCCCCAUCUUACCACCUGCAUUUGGACACAUGGUGGCAGCACACCCACACGUCUUCGAUACCGCAGAGGCAACGGGCUCCGAAACUCGCGCUCCCCGCCCAGUUCCUCUCCUUGGAGCAGUUUUUGAUGAGGUUUUUUUUCGGAUUUGUUUGUUUCUUUUUGCUUGGUGGGGGAGGGGUGUGGAAUAAAAACGGGGAUGUGGGGAAUCUGGUGACGAACGGUGUCGUUUGGAGUACCCCAGUGUCACCGGUGGGGGGGGGCGGAUGAUUCGGCAGAGGAGCAGGUGAGUAGAGGACUGGUCCGCUGAAAUGAGGGCUGGUUUGGGCUGAUUCCCUCUAAAAGACCUUUCGAUGACGGGCUGGGCUUGUAGAGCCGCAGCCACUGUGGUGGCCCCAAAAUACCCCAAACCCCUUGAUUCUGGGGCUGCGGGGGACGGUGGAGAGGACACCCCCGCAGCACUCCGUGCAGCAGGUGAGGGGUGCGUGAUGUGACACCAGGCACCGCUCGCUGCUGCCAUCCCUUGUCCAGAGCUCGGUACUGCAGCCCGGGCUCCGCGCAUGAGCCGUGCCGCUCCCUUUGUCCCCGCUGCCGUCUCCGGAAGCAGCCGGUGCUCCGGGUUGUUGUUGGAUCCCGGUGUCCAGUGGCCGCCGCUCCACGUUCAGGUGUCGGCAGGCGCGCGGGGUGCUCGCGGCCGCAUCCCGGUGUUCGGGCACCGCCUCCGGUCUCUCCGCCCUCCGUUUCGGUGUCACAUGCGCAGCUCCCGGGAGCAGCAUGGCGGCGGGCAGGGUCCGGGUACCGGCAGCAGCAGGAUCCCAAAGGAAACAGAGAAACUGCGAAAGUGGAAGAACCAUCCAAAAGUUCUGGUGACAGCACAGCUACUGAAACAGCGUAGAGGAAGAAGCACCCAAGCAGCAGAAGCUUGUCCAUGA
rnacentral:lncRNA from 14 species